GCAAUGGAGGGGGAUUCGUGAGGGCAUGUUUGACCCGGUAAGAUCAUGUUACUGACAAUUUAAUCAGAUUACCAUGAAAACUCUGCCUAAUGUUUAACCUUGUUCAUAAGCUUUUGAAAGACGCACUAUGCAACAUUUUAAAACACUUCUUCUGUUUCUGGAAUACAGCUGACAAAACAACAGCUUGCCGGCUUGUGUCUGAGGAUUGUCCAGUUUUUAUCGGACAAGCUGAUGCAGAUCAUCAUCCCAGGUCUUUACGAACUACUGGGCAUCCAAGAUGCUGCCUCCUCUCCAUUGUCACAGAGAUCUCUCACAGCGUCACUCACCAGUCUGUUAGACGAUAAGACUAACACCAAGUCCCGCGUGAGAUUUACUGAGGCUGGUGUACCUAAGAGGCCAGGCAGUCGAAAGUCUUACAAUAGCUUUCGCAUCCCGACUCCCUACCCUUCCUCCAACUGUAUGGAGCAGGAAGAGGAAGAAGAGCAGGAAUCACAACUUAAGUUCAAGGAGAUUUACCUGACUAAGGGCAGUCUGGGCAGUGGAAGCUACCUGCCCAAGGGGGCCAUGAGGACUCUAACCUCUCUGUCUGAUGUGCAGAAGAAAACAACCAACUCUGAGACGCUACAAGUCCUCUUAGGUGUCUCAGAGGACACCCUUGUCACCUGUGUGCAGGACAGCCUGCAAGGUUCUCUCUCCAAACUUGCAUGCAUGUCCAAUUCUCCAUCUGGAAGUGCAGGCUCUAUGAUGCUAACCCCUGCUGUAAUGGCAGAGUUGGCUAAAGAUGUCAAGUCGGCCUUAUCAGUGGUCGUUAAGAGUGCCUCCGCAAGUCAAACCUCUCUAGUUACACCGGUAAGGGGAGACUCACAGACCAAGGUGACUGAGAGCAUGGUGAGAGAGCUGGCUGUUAAACUUGAAAAAGUUGACCAAGAGAGCAAGAGUCUAACAGGGCAAGUCAUGACCACCAUCUCUGACACAAUGGUGGCUUUUGUUGACGAGAACGAACAGAAUUUGCUGGAAGAUCUGAAGGACAAGAUCACGUUUUUGGCAUCGCAUGUUGGCUUCAUUGAGGAUCUUGAUGCCCUGAUAAGGAAAUACGAGAGUAGCUACAAUAUUAGUGAAUCUGGUUCCUCCUGCACGCUCACAUCUAAGAGCAUCCAAAAACUCUCUAGCCGGGAGUUUCAAACAUCAGCAAUACAAGCAGUGAGUGGAGUUCUUGACAAAAAAGUCAGUAGUUUGAGCUUUCCUAGUUCAGUCAUUCAGUCUGAGUUAACAGGUGCUGUAUCAGGUCAAACAUUGUCUGGCAUUGUAAAGACAGAGUCAAUUCACCCAGUGGGCUCAGCAGCGUCAGUAGUUGUUAAGACUUUCGUGUCAGAUAUGAAGUCCUUGGCUGAAUCUGAAGAGAGUCCCCAACAGAAGAGUGCCUGGUCUGCUGCUGUUCACAUUUACCACAGCAUCCAAAACAACUUGAAAGAUUAUUUCAGCAAGCUUCAGCGAUGUGCCUUAAAGAGCAUUGUCACAUCUGAUGAUAACAUCACAAAUGCUGAGUUCAAGGAGACAGUUCCACUUCCUUGCUUAAACAUGAAAUAUAGGCCCAGUAAGAGUGAGCCUCAGUUGCCAGAGUCCACUGGUGCAGUUACUUUACAAAGAGGCCUACGUGAGAGCUCAAAACUUCUUUGGGCAAAAACAGAGUCAGAAGAAAGCAAGCUCCUUCUGACAACUUGCACCAAAGAAGUCAUCUCAGAGCUUCUGGUCUUGUACAACACUGAGGUGUCAAAGGAGGACCCCCUGUACACUGUUGGAGAAAAAGGAUCAGGCUUCUCUAUUGAGAGAGANNNNNNNNNNUCAGAUUGACUUUCCCAUUGUUAGAAACACAAUCAUUGAGGACUUAUUUCACACAGAGGACUUACUUCCUGUAACCUUUGUGGACAAAGUCAGGCAAGCUGCUGGGGUGGUAGUGGACAUUAUGGUGGAAAGUGUUGAGAACACACAGGAAGAUGGAAAAGUUGGUUCUCAUCUUGACGACCUCCGAUCUGCUGUUAGGAAAUUGAGAAAAAUCAUUUCCACUUGGACCAUCCACAUUUUCAGUCAUGAAUUGGUGGAUAAAGUGAUAGCCCUUCAGGACAGCCACAGCACUCCACAGGUCUUAACAUUGGAAGCAGCCAAAAGUNNNNNNNNNNUUUGUAGAGGGUGUUCUGGCUCAGCUUGGGGAUAUUGCCCAUUCCAGGGCCUCAUCACCAAUAGUAUGUGAGUUCCCCUGUCAAAUUGAGGACAGCAGAAGUAAGGCCACAGCUUCUUUGACCAGUCUGUUAGAUUGUAUUAGAAAACUCUCAAGUGAGGAAUUUAAGAGAAAUGCCACUCAAGCAGUGAGUGAGUUCCUAGUUAAAAAGUCCACCAGUAGCUUAACUAGUGCACAGCCUGCUUAUUCUGUAGCAUCCAGGUCUUGUUCCAUUCAAAACCAGUACACAUGGUCAAAGGAUAUUUGUGCGGAUUCUGCUGCCUUUGGCAUCAUUGAAACAUUUGUGGAAGACCUGCAGAGCUCGGCGCAACCUGCAGAAGUAGAGGAGAGAGAACCUGACCUCCAGGAAAAUGCACAAAAGCUACAGAGCAGGAUCUGGUCUGCUACCACUAGUUUAUAUAACAAUAUUCAGAAGACAUUAAAGGACUUCAUCA
rnacentral:lncRNA from 13 species